AAGGGUGAUGCAGAUGGUAACAAGCCCGUGGAAAUCCAUGCUGCUUCAAAUGAAGAGCGAGCCCAGAAGUAGAACACCAGAUCACUUGGCAUCAAACAGGUGAAUAAAAAAUACAGAUAUGAGCAACAAUUUCCCAGGAAAAAGAGGAAAACCAUCUGAAUCCAUUUUGAUUUUGAACGUGACUAACCUGCCUUCAGCCUCAGGAAAGACUGACGGUGUGCUGCUUGGGCUUCUGGUACGGAGUCUGUGAAAGGACACUAUGUGUUUUGGGUCAGUCUUGAGACCUUGUCCUCAGUUCUGCAGUGGGACUCAAGUCUGCCCAUGCUUGUCCCAUUGCCAGAUCAGCACUGCAAGUAGCAAGUCUCAAAAUUCCUUAGUCUCUUGUUAUUAUUUAUAUAUAAAAUAAAAUUCCAGUUACACAAAA